rnacentral:rRNA from 1 species
AACGCGAAGAACCUUACCCAGGCUUGACAUCCUUGGAAGUUCUGCGAAAGCAGAGUGUGCCUUCGGGAACCAAGUGACAGGUGAUGCAUGGCCGUCGUCAGCUCGUGUCGUGAGAUGUUAGGUUAAGUCCUUCAACGAGCGCAACCCUUAUAGUUAGUUGUAUUUUUCUAGCUAGACUGCCCUGGCAACAGGGAGGAAGGAGGGGAUGAGGUCAGGUCAGUAUUUCCCUUACGUCUGGGGCUACAAACACGCUACAAUGGCCAGUACAAAGGGCAGCCAAGUCGCGAGACGGAGCAAAAUCCCAUCAAAGCUGGUCUCAGUUCGGAUAGCAGGCUGAAACUCGCCUGCUUGAAGCUGGAAUCGCUAGUAACGGUAGGUCAGCACACUACCGUGAAUACGUUCCCGGGCCUUGUACACACCGUAGAGAC